rnacentral:tRNA from 1 species
CCUCCUUUCUAAGGAAGUCCCGGACGAAGCUUCUGUGACAAAACCUGGGUGACAAAUGCCUGGUUUUUGAUGCUUAGGUUUUUCCGAGACUCUGAGGACAAAUGGCGGUCCGCCACACUCGGCGGAGCGCCGCUACUACCGGCGUGCCGCCGUCUUCUCAUCUCUUCCAAUCCAGGGCAUCGGAGCAGGAAGGCUUCGGCCGGACUGAAGUCGGGCCUGUAGCUCAGCUGGUUAGAGCGCACGCCUGAUAAGCGUGAGGUCGGUAGUUCGAAUCUACCCAGGCCCACCAUCGUUUUCGGGGGUGUAGCUCAGUUGGGAGAGCGCCUGCUUUGCAAGCAGGAGGUCAUCGGUUCGAAUCCGUUCACCUCCACCAAGGUUUGCUUGGGAAUU